AGUUAGAGCUCCAGUUAUUGCACCUGUAUAUGAAGCAGUAUAAAAAGUGAUCAUUCAAUCAUAGUUAGUCCACAUUGUAGAAGAUUGUGGAAAAAAGCACAUCCUAACUAACACAAUUAAUUUAGUUUUGAUAAAGCUACCCCUAAAUCCCCCAAAUUGGAAGGAAGGUUUGAACUCUUAACUCACCAAAGAAUAAAGUUGUCCCCAAUUUUCAUAUCCUGGAUAUAUAUAAUUUCUGUUAGGAUUUACCCCAAAGUCCUAUCUAGAUUUGAUUUUUUAUUUGUAGUUUUCAGAUGGAACUACAAUGCAUUUCUUAUUUUAAGAGAAGCUGAUUUCCAAACUCAAAUUGGAGAGAAUUUUAGGAAUUUAACGGAUUUUGGGGCCAACUGUAGGUGGCACAUAGUGAGUAUUAUAAUUUCUGUUAAGUACCAUUUUCGCUCAAUGGGUGGUUCUCUUUAUUGUAUCCAGUUAGUAGAGUAUUUUCUCACUUCUAGGGCUGAUAUAUUUGGCAAAAUCGAAUAUAUUGUAAUUUCUAUGGUUGCCUUUAUCUUGUGAAUGCAGGCCCAUAGUUAGUGAACCACCCAGAUUUUAUGUUGUGUGUUUGGUAAAUUUUCAUUCUUUUUAUUUUAUUUAUUUUUAUUUCUUAUGGCAAUUAGGCUUUUAUUCGUUCAUUAUCUUCACGAUUUAUUAUAUUUCAUAAUAUUUAUAAUAUUUUAUAGAAUCAUGCUCUUUCCAUGCAUUAUCUUUCAUAUUUUCU
rnacentral:misc_RNA from 1 species